GUCGGCGCCCGCUGCGCGGAGCCGGGAAGUCGCCGCGACUCCGGUGAGACUCAGAGUUGUCUCCGGAGGUGACGGGCGCGGAGGUGAGCGGUGGGGAGCAAGCGGCGACGGCGAAAACGCGGAGGCUGCGCCGUGACCCCUUACCAUCUUUUGAAGGGAUAGUAGCGUAGGUCCAGGGUCCCACCGCCGCUUUGUUCGCAGCCUCUCCCUAAGGUCCUGAAGCGGAUCGAGCGCGAGGCGCCAA